rnacentral:rRNA from 1 species
UGGGCACUCUAGAUAGACUGCCGGUGACAAACCGGAGGAAGGUGGGGAUGACGUCAAAUCAUCAUGCCCCUUAUGACCUGGGCUACACACGUACUACAAUGGCCGGUACAACGGGCUGCGAAAUCGCGAGAUGGAGCCAAUCCCAACAAAGCCGGUCUCAGUUCGGAUUGCAGGCUGCAACUCGCCUGCAUGAAGUCGGAAUUGCUAGUAAUCGCGGAUCAGCAUGCCGCGGUGAAUACGUUCCCGGGUCUUGUACACACCGCCCGUCACACCACGAGAGUUUAUAACACCCGAAGUCGGUGGGGUAACCGCAAGGAGCCAGCCGCCGAAGGUGGGAUAGAUGAUUGGGGUGAAGUCGUAACAAGGUAGCCGUAUCGGAAGGUGCGGCUGGAUCACCUCCUUUCUAUGGAGA